rnacentral:rRNA from 1 species
UGGGGAAUUUUGCGCAAUGGGGGAAACCCUGACGCAGCAACGCCGCGUGGAGGAUGAAGUCCCUUGGGACGUAAACUCCUGUCAGGCGGGACGAACGGACGCCGGUGAACAAUCGGCGUCUCUGACGGUACCGCCAGAGGAAGCCCCGGCUAACUCCGUGCCAGCAGCCGCGGUAAUACGGAGGGGGCGAGCGUUAUUCGGAAUUAUUGGGCGUAAAGGGCGCGUAGGCGGCCUGGUAAGUCAAAGGUGAAAUCCCUCGGCUCAACUGAGGAAUUGCCUUUGAAACUGCAAGGCUUGAGGCCGGGAGGGGGUAGCGGAAUUCCCAGUGUAGCGGUGAAAUGCGUAGAUAUUGGGAGGAACACCAGUGGCGAAGGCGGCUACCUGGACCGGUUCUGACGCUGAUGCGCGAAAGCGUGGGGAGCAAACAGGAUUAGAUACCCCCGUAGUCC